GACGAACGCUGGCGGCGUGCUUAACACAUGCAAGUCGAACGGUAAGGCCCUUCGGGGUACACGAGUGGCGAACGGGUGAGUAACACGUGGGUGAUCUGCCCUGCACUUCGGGAUAAGCCUGGGAAACUGGGUCUAAUACCGGAUAGGACCACUGCCUGCAUGGGUGGUGGUGGACAGCUUUUGCGGUGUGGGUUGGGCCCGCGGCCUAUCAGCUCGUUGGUGGGGUGAUGGCCUACCAAGGCGACGACGGGUAGCCGGCCUGAGAGGGUGACCGGCCGCACUGGGACUGAGAUACGGCCCAGACUCCUACGGGAGGCAGCAGUGGGGAAUAGUGCACAAUGGGCGCAAGCCGGAUGCAGCGACGCCGCGUGAGGGAUGACGGACUUCGGGUUGUAAACCUCUUUCAGCACCGACGAAGCGCAAGUGACGGUAGGUGCAGAAGAAGGACCGGCCAACUACGUGCCAGCCGCCGCCGUAA
rnacentral:rRNA from 1 species